GGUUGCUAAGGAAAAUUCACAAAACAAAAACUCUUAGCUACCUAAAGCAUAUUAUGGUCUUAGACAUAAGGAGACAAGAGGAGCUCUGCUGGCUCAGGCCAGUGGCCCACCUAGGCCAGCAGCCAACCAGGUGGCUUGAGGGAGGCCCCUGAGCAGGAUCUGAGCACAACAGCACUCUCCUCACUUGAGACUGCCAUCAACGGAUAUUGAGAAGUAUCCUGCCUCCAACAGUGGCAUUUUUCUUCUCCAAGCCUGCUUUUCUGUAACUUAGGAGUCACAGGUUUUGUACAAAAGUUUAUUCUAACUACAUGUGAAGCAGAGUCAAAUCCCCACCCUUGCACAAAGUUCUCUAGCUGCACUAGUCAACAUCUCUCAGCUCAACUUCUCUCCCUAGGUUGCCAUGAAAGAAUAGCAUGUGCUGUGACACAGAUUAAUUUUAAGUGGUUAAAUACUGCAUUGAUUACUGUGUGUCCCCUAUUGAUCAUCGUAUCCCCAUCCUGUUUGCAAUCUUUAUCUUGUUUGUCCAUAUUAAAGGACCUAGAAAGGAGGGCACAACCGUUCCUCUUUUGUGUAAGAGCAGCUGUGCAGACCUGGACCCCUGGCAGACUGGAGACAAAAGACAGAACGGAUAAUGAUCCACCGCUAGAGGGCCACAAGGAACAUGGAAAAUUUAGACUAUCUUUCUUAAUGCUCCUCUUGGUUCUGGAUCACAUACAAACACAAGCAAACAAAAAACAAACGCCCUGUGGCCACAGACCUCUGGCCUGUCCAGAAGCUCUUUCAUUUCCUCCCACAGGCUCGCACAUCAACUCUCCACUACUCCUUUGGUGCAAGGAUGCACCCGAUACUUACAAGCCCAGGCAUCUGAGCCCAUACAAGCGGACUCAGCAAUGUAAGGCUACAAGCCCUACGCAAACGCACCUUGGCGCAAGCGUCACUGGAUUCCGUGGGAAUGACACUCACUGUGAUACCAUUAAGGUAAGGGGUAUAAUAAGCAAUUUUUGUAUCUGGAAAACAUAUCUUCAGAUCAAUGCACUAAAUUUAAGUAACAAUGUUUGUGACUGUAUGUGCUCUGACUGAAGAGGUUCACAUAUAAGUGUCCAUUCCCAAAGUUUUUUUAAAAAAGAGUAGAAAAUAUGAAGACCUUGAACAAUUUCCUUACACAGGAGAUCUGUCUUGGGUGUAGAGAAAUAAGAGCCAAGGUGAACAGUUGUCAUCUGGUCAACUGUCUUGCUUCAGUCUGGCCAUGAUCCAAAGAGAGGCGGGUACUGUCCCACCUCAUUCUCUGACUCACUGAAUGGAUUCUCUCUGCCUCCACUGCUAUUGAAGACACACAGCAAAUGUUACCUUCUCCUCCUACUUUGAGAGGAGCACAUCCACCCCCCAAUUUCAGUACCUUAUUAAGUGCAAGAGGAGCAGUUGGCAAUUCAGGAGACCACUGAUCUCUGGAGAGAAAAAGGAAAUUGCAGCAAUUAGCUUAUUUUGAAGAACAAAAUAAAUUAUGUAUUUUA